UUAACCCAUUAUUAAAUAUGUGGUUUGUAAAUAUUUUCUCUCAUUUCUUAAGUUGCACUUUCAGAAGGAUUUUAAUUGCAUGUAGUCCCAUUUGGCUAUUUUUUUUUAUUUUGAUGCCUGUGCUUUUGAUGUCAUAUCCAAGAAAUUAUUGCCAACAUCAGUUUCGUAAGAUUUUCCUCACGUUUUUUUUCUAGGAGAUUAUGAAAUUCUUGUUGUGUGUUUUUUAGCUCUACCAAGUUAAUUUUUUUCUUUUCCAUAGCUUAUGUUACUUUAAUCUUUGAGGUUGCUGACCUUUCAAUGGGUUUAUUUUUCUUGUACAACCUGGGCAACAGAGCCAGAGCCCAUCUCAAAAAAAAAAAAAAAAAAAAAAAAAAUUGUUAAGCCAUGCUAUAAAGAGAUGUGCUAUAAUGCAGGCCUUGUUCCAUCUACAGAGC
rnacentral:lncRNA from 1 species